GAUGAACGCUGGCGGCGUGCCUAAUACAUGCAAGUCGAGCGAACGGACGAGAAGCUUGCUUCUCUGAUGUUAGCGGCGGACGGGUGAGUAACACGUGGAUAACCUACCUAUAAGACUGGGAUAACUUCGGGAAACCGGAGCUAAUACCGGAUAAUAUUUUGAACCGCAUGGUUCAAAAGUGAAAGACGGUCUUGCUGUCACUUAUAGAUGGAUCCGCGCUGCAUUAGCUAGUUGGUAAGGUAACGGCUUACCAAGGCAACGAUUCAUAGCCGACCUGAGAGGGGGGUCGGGCCAACUGGGACGUAGACACCGGCCAGACUCCUGCGGGAGGGAGCAGGGGGGGAUUUUCCGCAAUGGGGGGAAGGCUGACCGAGGCAAGGCGGGGGGGUUAAGGAGGGUUUUGGAUUGGAAAAACCUGUUUAUGGGGAAAAAACAUGGUGAAAGGUAACUGUCCACACUUUGAGGGUACCUAACAAGAAAGCCACGGCUAACUACGUG
rnacentral:rRNA from 1 species